ACGAGCACGAGUUCUUCUUAGCCGAAGGUUUGGGUAAUCUUGUUAAACUCUGUCGUGCUGGGGAUAGAGCAUUGCAAUUAUUGCUCUUCAACGAGGAAUUCCUAGUAAGCGCAAGUCAUCAGCUUGCGCUGAUUACGU
rnacentral:rRNA from 1 species